CAUGUUGAAUCCGUGUCUCAGUUUUCUCUCUCUCUCCCUUUCUCCCUCUCGUCUCUCUCUUCUUUAGCCUCUUUGUUGUCAUCUCAGGUGAAUUGUAACCAUGUGAUCAGAUGCCCUGCAAGCCCCAUUCCAUUAGACUCCUAAAUGAAAAAAUGAGAGGAACAAAAAGCAGUUUUGUGCAUCUUGAAAAAAUGAUAAGAGAAAAGAAAGAGAUGUGUGUCUCUGGGCCCUGUGUUACUACACAGACACAGCAUCUCACACAUAACACAACAUCCAAGGACUGCACUAGCUGGACUAGCUUUCUCCAUCUGUUUUAUUCUCAUGUCCACCGAGACCAUGGGUCUGGGCCUUUGGGUGCUGGUCUUGGUGGGUUCGUCGGAGAGGGGUUGGUUGAGGGUGCAGGAUUCAGGAUGGGGGCUACAUACACCCCUCUGACUACACUGGGAUACUGAGGCCCUGUCCUGGCCUUGAUGAGAGGAAGAUGUUGGGGAGACAUAUGACAUUACUGGAGUUUCCCCUGUCAGAGCUCAGCAACACCGACUGCUGAAGAUGUGGAGAAGAAUUGUUUGUUUUUGCUCUUGAAAAUAGAGUUGAAAAAGUUAUAGCUUUUGCUUAUAGGUACCUCACCACAUCAAGAGAUUAAAUGAAGAGUUUUUUUCCAAAACAUUAUAUACAUUAAAUUUCACAUUUGUGUUUUUUAAUCAGUGAUUGCUUAUGGGUUUGAUGUGUGGGAUGUCAAAAUGCUAUACGCAAAUCCAUUGUUUAGCUUGAAUGUUCCUAUCCUGUAUAUUUGACUGUGAUAUGUGGUUGUCUCACCGAGCUAUCUUAUAAUGAAUGCACUUACUGUAAGUCGUCUGGAUAAGAGCAUCUGCUAAAUGACUAAAAUGUCAAAUGUUUUACAUACAGAUCUCCUAUUACUGUAUUGCAUUUUUAUUACAUUUUUUAUUUAAACAUUGAUUUCAUAAAUGUAUCAUUUGUACUGCUCUCUAUACAAAAAUGUAGUUAUUUGUUCCAUUUGACUGUGUAAAACCUAGCAGUACUACUUAUUUCUCUGAGAAUGUGGCGGAUAUAUAGCAUUUGGUCUCUCUGAAACGAAACCAUCAAGUGAUAGAUUUUAAACAAAUACAUGUCUGUCAUCGAACAGCCCCAUGACAUGAUUAGACAGGGAAAAAACACACCAAACUCUCAUAAUUUCUUUAAAUAAUAAAAGUUGAUUUACUAACA